rnacentral:rRNA from 1 species
AACGAACGCUGGCGGCAGGCCUAACACAUGCAAGUCGAACGCCCUGCAAGGGGAGUGGCAGACGGGUGAGUAACGCGUGGGAACGUGCCCUUCGGUUCGGAAUAACUCAGGGAAACUUGAGCUAAUACCGGAUACGUGCGGAAGCAGAAAGAUUUAUCGCCGAAGGAUCGGCCCGCGUCUGAUUAGCUAGUUGGUGAGGUAAUGGCUCACCAAGGCGACGAUCAGUAGCGGUCUGAGAGGAUGAUCAGCCACACUGGGACUGAGACACGGCCCAGACUCCUACGGGAGGCAGCAGUAAGGAAUAUUGCGCAAUGGACGAAAGUCUGACGCAGCAACGCCGCGUGCAGGAUGACGGCCCUUUGGGUUGUAAACUGCUGUAGCAGGGGAAUAAGAGCCCACUCGGUGGGUGUGAAGGUACCCCUGAAAGUAAGCUCCGGCUAACUACGUGCCAGCCGCCGCCGUAA